UAGCCCUAAACCAAGACAUUUAAUAAACCAAAAUGUUCGCCAGAGUACUACUAGCAACAGCUUAAAACUCAAAGGACUUGGCGGUGCUU
rnacentral:rRNA from 1 species